AAAGGUUCAGAAGAUUGUAUACAUACCGUCUUUCUCAGCCAGUGUCACCAUGAUCUCAUCGAUACCCUUCUCCAUGCCUUUCAACCCACACAUGUAGACGUAGGUGUUGUCCUUCUUCAGAAGCUCCCACAGCUCCUCCUUGUAUUCCGCCAUCCGGGUCUGGAUGUACAUCUUCUCUCCCUGAGCGUUGGUCUGCUCUCUGCUGACAGCGUAGUCCACGCGGAAAUUAUUCGGCGCUUUCGUCUUCAUCUUCUCAAACUCCUAAAUAAUGUUUCGCAAAAUGCAGCGCAGCUAUGGAGGUUAAGUAUCACAUGAAAAGGAAAAAGAUUAGCUUGUGAUGAAGUGCUCAUGAAAACAGCAGAGAUCGAUGUACUGACAUCCGGGUAGAGCAGCGAACUGCUCGUUGGAACUCCCAAGAAGAGCCAUGCAAGACCGUUGAACUGCACAAGAAUGUAAUUCAAACUUGUUGCUUCCAUGUUCACCGUGGAUUUUAGUUGGCGAUAUGAAGAUUUUGAUACGUACCUGGUAGUCGUCAUGCUUCUCGAAGAACAUCUUCCACAGGAAUGAGCGGAAUGGAGCAAUACCGGUACCGGUCGCAAGCUGGAAGCAAUUGGCAUGAAAGACUAUAAAAUUUCUGGUUGCCGUCAUUAUGCAGGUACUGAACUGGAUCUGACAAUUAAGCUUUACCAUUAUAAUAUUAGCGUUGGGGUCUUUGGGCAUGAGCAUUUCUUUACCAACGGGCCCUGUAAUCUGGACGUCAGCACCAGGCUUCAGGUCACCUGCAUUAUCACCACAAGUCCACAAGGUCAGAUAUUCAGAUAUUAACUAAUAAUAUGAGCGAUUAUUAUGGGGUGUUUGGAUACGAUGUGCUAAACUUUAGUAGGUCACAUAUGCUAAUUAGGAGGACUAAACAUGAGCUAAUUAUAAAACUAAUUGCAGAAUCCCUAGACUAAUUCGCGAGACGAAUCUAUUAAGCCGAAUUAAUCCACCAUUAGCAAAUGGUUACUGUAGCACCACAUUGUCAAAUCAUGGACUAAUUAGACUUAAUAGAUUCGUCUCACGAAUUAGACUCCAUCUGUGUAAUUAGUUUUAUAAUUAGACUAUAUUUAAUACUCCUAAUUAGUAUCAAACAUCCGAUGUGAUAGGUGCUAAAGUUUAGCACAUGAGAACUAAACACCCCCUAUAUAUAUGUCGAGAUCCGGAUGCAUGUUAAUCAAGAGGGUAUUUGGACACAGGUUGCUGACAGUUCUACAUUCAACACAUCCUAAUUUGGUAUAGUGUCAGGUCAAUGCACUGAGCAUUAUUGAAUAAUUAAAGUGCACAAUAAUGUCUGGAGUUAUUCAAACACUAGUAGUAACUACACGAAACAGGGAAAUAAAGCAGCUACUAAACUGUGAUCCACAUUACGAUACAAACCAUUAUAAAAGUUUCAAAUUCCUCAGUCUUAGUGUAUUAAAUUUCAUACCACAUCAGCAAUUUUGCUAACUUGACAAGAUAUUUAUGAAGAGGGAGAAUGAAGAGUUUUAUCAUAUGAGAGUUUUAUCCCAUGAAACUCAACCAUCACGGUUAACUAACAGUGCAAUGAAAUUGUGCACGACACCAUGGAAAAAUUAGUUGCGCCUUUCAGACGACUCACCCAACCUUUUGUUGCCCUCAGCGCCAUUUACGUCGCUUCCGUUAGUGCAACUUGCCGUUGGAACUCAGAUUUUUAUGAAAAUGGCCAAAGUACCCCUGCUACAAGCGGGCCCACUUGGAAGGCUCGAAUUUUCAACAAAAACCAACCGGCCUCCGUUCCGCUCCUCUUGGCCGCAGGCCCGCCGCCGCUCCCCUCCCCUUUCCCACCUCCCGGCCUCCGCUCCUCUCCCGUCCAGGCCAGCGCUCGCCGCUUCUGUCCCGAUCGCCGCCCGCUGCUCCGCUCCUCUCUCCUCUCGGCCUCUGCUGCCUCGCUCCACUCCCGUUCGUGGUGGAGACCGCGCUGGACGAGGCCGCCUGAGCGCGCACCGGCUUGGCUUGGCUGCGCCGCCAUUCUCUUGGGCGUCCCUGAACGGGAGCUUGAAAGGAGCAAGUGCCACGGCUUUCGAGCCUCGGCGCGCCUCCGCUUGCCCGUAAUCCCGACGUCAUGAUGGUGCAGGGGCCGUCCCCUGGGCGCCAUCGAGACCGCCGAUGACGACAAGGAGGAGGCCUCCGCAAUGCUGCGACUACAAGCAGCAGUCCCUGCUGGCGUCUCCCUGCCUGCAACUGCAAGAGCACCCGUCCAACAACGGCCAUGGCGAGUGCCGCAGUUUAUUUUUGAAAGAAAGGAGCCGCAGGUUUCAGUGGCGGGCAGGAGAGAUAAGAUUGAACGGUGAAAUCAGGAGAGAUAGGAUUGAAUGGUGGUGGGUCCCAUCUUAUUUUGGAUUUCUUUUGAAGAGAGGGAGUGGCUGGUUGAGGUCAGGGGUAAAAUGGACGUUUCCCUCGCUGUUACAGCAGUGGUACUGAGGUCCAAAAAAGUUCACUGGAUGGCAUGAGAGACGUCACAAGUUUUCUGGUGGCAGAUACGGAACUGGAAUCUUUUAUUUUUUUGAAGGUAAUACUUGAAUCUUUUAUAAUGGCUUGAGCGUAAUUGACUCUUCACUAAAGCAUGAAUUUCGUAUGUCCAAAUCUGAAUUCUGGCAACGUAUUGACAGGCUUGUUGUUGCGGACAGCAUAACUCAGAGUUCAUGCUGAGAGAAGAUAGAAGAAGAAUGCAUGCAAGAAGUGACGUACACAAGAAGUUUGAGCAGACUCCUUUGACAACCUCUCCCGCCUCGUUUGUGUAAACAAGCCUCUUGACACACAGCGAGACCUGCAGAUAUGAAGCACAAGUCAGGCUCCUCCUCCGUCACUUUACAGUUUCUGUCUCUCCGUGGUGAGUCAAUCAUCAGUCGUCAGCGAAAAAAAGGUCAGAGGACUCACCGUCUUGGAGUCGCCAAAGUCGCCGAGAGCGCUGCUGGCAAUGGAGUAGAGCCUGAGCUUGUGCGGCUUGCCGUUCUUGUCUUCGCCGUCGGCGAUGACGCCGAUGGACUGGCCCUCUCUGUAGGGGAUCUCGCCUGCAGCAACAACUCGAUCAUGAGUCCUCGAUGGCCUGUGGCUGUGUUGUGGUGAAGCAGAGCAGAGCAGAGGAGGCAGGUUUUUUUCCUUUUUUUUUUCUUUUUGAAGAAAGCAACGGGGCCAGGGGGGCCUCGAUGGCCUCCUCUUUUUCAAAAAGAAGAAAGCAGUGCGCCCACUGAACAUUUCAUUCAAGGGGCCGGCGACCGAACGGCCGCGGCGAGAGGAGGCAGUUACAAGUGGAAAGAAAGAAAGGAACGUGCAACGGGACCUUCGGUGCUGAAGACCAUGUGCCAUGUCUCCCCCGGUGCGUCGUCUCCGGUGAUCUUGGUGUUGAGGAGGCACUUGCCGACGUAGGGCUCCUUGGGCCUGUACUUGUUGGUGACGACGCCCUCCUCCUGCUUCUUGGAGACCUUCUUGGGCUUGGCGUCCGCCUCCACGGCCGCGGUGUCGGUGGUAGACGUCUGCGCCCGGAUGACGGCCCGCGCGGCCCUCGGGCGGUAGGAGAGGAAGUGGGCGGCGGCAGGGGACGCCGGCGCCUUGGCGGCCGGCGAGGAGGAGAGGGAGACGGCCACGGCCGUGACGGCGGCCAUGGCUCGCGAAAAUCAGCUGUUGAAUGCGCGGGGAGGAGAAGGGAAGGGAGGGAAGAGCAGGACGGGGAAAUCCGAACUGGAGGAGGCGUGAAGAAGAAGAUGAGCUCCGGACAGUGAAACGACGAUGAGUGGAAGACAGCGAAGAUGACGAGCAUGUGGUUGUGGUGGAUGCGAGGGAAGAAUUCUCUCAUCUCAGUUCAGGCAGCUUCUCAGCCGUCCGAUCACACUCUUGCUCGCCUGGACCUGGCAGGUGGGCCCAUUGGGCUUGGGUACCUGCCAGGAACCUUGAAUUGCCCCCGCCCUAGGGAGUAUUUCCGCCGUUAAUUCCACUGUGACACAGCGUUAUACUUUGUGCCGCAAUUUUUUUUUGCUCAAAAGU
rnacentral:lncRNA from 1 species